UGAGACGAUUUUGCCCCUGCUUGCCGGCUAAAAGGGGAUCGAGAUCUCGCGAGCUACCGGCCAUGGCUCGACGCGCCGCAGCCGCCGACGGAGAGUCCCGUCGCCGCCUUGCCGCUCCUCAUCCUCCUCGUCUUUCUCCUCUCAACUUCACUCGGGGCGUGCAGUUCGGCGAGCAAGAGGGGCGGCGACGGGCGACAGCGGCGGUGCGGUAGCGGAUGAGGCGUACUACUCCAGCUGGGAAUCGGCAGUGGCGGUGGUGGUGGCGGGGCGACGAAGGCUAGUCCGGCCAGGGUCGUCGCCGCCGACAUGCCGGAGCCGGUGCGGUGGCUGCCACCCAAGCUUGUUCUUCCCGGCUGCGUCGCCAUUGCUGCACGGACAAGGUUUAGCUGCUACCUAGCUGGAGCAAGAGCCAUCGACAAUACUGCAGCCAAGAAGGACAUUGCUGAGAAGAUCAAUCACGCAGGCUUCGGCUUCGAUGGGUUGGUGUGACGGUGGUGGCGGCACUUACCGACGGGCAGAGAAGCCAGCAACUAGCUGAAAUGGCUCAACCAGCUCGAUGCACAACGGUUUUCAACAUCCAACCGAAGGGGCAAUAUCAUCUCAUCAAGGCACAUUUUAGCGAAAAUGAAAUCGAAAAUGGAGAAAAUGGCAAAGUAGAUGUGGUCACGUGGUCCAUAUUGGCAUUUUAACGAAUCGUGUUUUUGGAUGGCAUUUUAGCGAAACCGCGUUUCGAGAAUGACCAAAUGUCCAUUUUCUCGUGUCGCGCUGUUAACGACCAAAUUUGGUAAUCUAAGUAUCGGAGAUGAAGAAGGAAUCGAAACGGAGUUCGAGAUAGAGAUCGUCCCGGAAACAGAGUAAAGUCAGCUGAAAUCCGAAUCGGCUACGAUCAGGAUCGGCAGAGUCCGAGUUGGAUAGGGUUAGCCAAUUGAGUUGAAUCUGACAAUGUAGCACGAUAUACGUUGUCGGGUUAGGUUAACGAGCUUCAUGAGGAUUGUCGUGCAUGGAUAGAGUCCUAAGAAGGCAAUUGUAUCUAUUAAUUAGGAUAUUU